AUUGAACGCUGGCGGCAGGCCUAACACAUGCAAGUCGAGCGGGGUUUUCGGACCUAGCGGCGGACGGGUGAGUAAUGCGUAGGAAGCUGCCCGAUAGAGGGGGAUACCAGUUGGAAACGACUGUUAAUACCGCAUAAUGUCUACGGACCAAAGUGUGGGACCUUCGGGCCAAAUGCUAUCGGAUGCGCCUACGUGGGAUUAGCUAGUUGGUGAGGUAAUGGCUCACCAAGGCGACGAUCUCUAGCUGGUUUGAGAGGAUGAUCAGCAACACUGGAACUGAGUCACGGUCCAGACUCCUACGGGAGGCAGCAGUGGGGAAUAUUGCACAAUGGGCGCAAGCCUGAUCCAGCCAUGGCACGUGUGUGAAGAAGGCCUUCGGGUUGUAAAGCACUUUCAGCGAGGAGGAAGGGUGGUGUGUUAAUAGCACAUCAUUUUGACGUUACUCGCAGAAGAAGCACCGGCUAACUCUGUGCCAGCCGCCGCAGUAAGAC
rnacentral:rRNA from 1 species